rnacentral:ncRNA from 2 species
GUCGCCGAGGGGUGCUGCAGCGGACCUCCGUCCGCCACGCUCGGCAUGCGACUCCAUCGCAAGGGCGCCCUUUCCAC